rnacentral:lncRNA from 1 species
AGAGGAGGAGAGACGCGGAGAGAGGUGGAGAGAAGAGGAGAGGUCGCGAGAAGCGGAGAGGCGGAGAGAGGUGGAGAGAAGCGACGAGGCGGCGAGAGGAGGAGAGACGCGGAGAGAGGCGGAGAGAAGAGGAGAGGUGGCGAGAAGCGGAGAGAGGUGGAGAGAAGCGGAGAGGCGGAGAGACGGAGAGGAUGAUAGAGAAGCUUCGGUGGUUUCCGUCGUUGAUUUCACCGGAGGGAACACAACGAAGCAGACACAAUCGCCAUGUUCUUCGCCGUUGAAGAGAGAGGCGGAGAGACCAAGAAGUUUUUAGGGUUAGGGAAAUCAAAUGUUUCUACACUUUUUGUUCUGAUUUUUUUUUCUGGCAACUUUAUUAAAUCAACAUUAUUGUAUUUUUUUUAAAUACAAUUAAUUAUGUUUAAUAAAUUAAUUAAAGGUUACUUUUGAUAUUAUGGAAAACAUUAUACUAUAGGGACAACUUGAAAUUGAAUUUAUACUAUAGAAACAACUAUGCUUUUUUCUUGUUCUCUUUUAGCAAUUUUCCCUUAAUUAUUUUGGUUUGAGUAACCGUUUCGACUCAUCAGAAUUUGUUCAUGGCAUUAUUUUAAGCGGAAAUUAUUUUUGUUUUGUCUCGUUUUGAGAAAUCAAUGAUUAGCUGCUCAA